UGUGUCUUGAUGAUGUAGUUCCUGUGUCUG
rnacentral:piRNA from 1 species